AACGAACGCUGGCGGCAUGCCUAACACAUGCAAGUCGAACGAGACCUUCGGGUCUAGUGGCGCACGGGUGCGUAACGCGUGGGAACCUGCCCUUAGGUUCGGAAUAACUCCCCGAAAGGGGUGCUAAUACCGGAUAAUGUCUUCGGACCAAAGAUUUAUCGCCUUUGGAUGGGCCCGCGUUGGAUUAGCUAGUUGGUAGGGUAAAAGCCUACCAAGGCGACGAUGCAUAGCUGGUCUGAGAGGAUGAUCAGCCACACUGGGACUGCGACACGGCCCAGACUGCUACGGAAGGCAGCAGUGGGGAAUAUUGGACAAUGGGCGAAAGCCUGAUCCAGCAAUGCCGCGUGAGUGAUGAAGGCGUUAGGGUUGUAAAGCUCUUUUACCCGGGAUGAUAAUGACAGUACCGGGAGAAUAAGCUCCGGCUAACUCCGUG
rnacentral:rRNA from 1 species